UGGGGAAUAUUGGACAAUGGGCGCAAGCCUGAUCCAGCCACGCCGCGUGAGUGAUGAAGGCCUUCGGGUCGUAAAGCUCUGUGGGGAGGGACGAACCGCUGCACGUUCAUAGCGUGCAGCAUGACGGUACCUCCUUAGCAAGCACCGGCUAACUUCGUGCCAGCAGCCGCGGUAAUACGAAGGGUGCAAACGUUGCUCGGAAUUAUUGGGCGUAAAGCGCACGUAGGCGGCUUGACAAGUCGGAUGUGAAAUCCCGCAGCUCAACCAAGGAAGUGCAUGCGAAACUGUCGGGCUUGAGUAAGAAAGAGGAAGGCGGAAUGCGCGGUGUAGAGGUGAAAUUCGUAGAUAUCGGGAGGAACACAGGUGGCGAAGGCGGAGAACUGGGUCGAUACUGACGCUGAGGUGCGAAAGCGUGGGGAGCAAACA
rnacentral:rRNA from 1 species